AAGACGAGAAGACCCUGUCGAGCUUAAUUAAAUAAAAAACUAGAUAUGGUUAAAUGAAAAGUGUUAAUAGUUUAAUUGUUGGCUGAGUUUUUAAUUGAAGUUUAGUUGGGGAGAGCUGAGUUUAAGGUAAUAAACUUAAGAAAUACUAAAGAUCCUCUUUGAGAGAAGUUAGCAAAAGCUACCGCAGGGAUAACAGCGUAAUUCUUUUUAAGAGAUCUUAUUGAGGGAAGAGUUUGCGACCUCGAUGUUG
rnacentral:rRNA from 1 species